GUGGGAGGAUUGCUUGAGCCUGGGAGAUGGAGGUUGCAGUGAGCUGUGAUCUCGCCACCACACUCCAGCCUGGGCAACAGAGUGAGACCCUGUCUC
rnacentral:miRNA from 10 species